GGGGAAUUAGCUCAAAUGGUAGAGCGCUCGCUUAGCAUGCGAGAAGGCACGGGGAUCGAUACCCCGAUUCUCCA